rnacentral:lncRNA from 1 species
GCAAAAGGAUCAAGGCUUCUAACCAGUCCUGGCUAUGCCUUUGUGCAAGUUCCCAAUGACCAAACGAAGUAUGAGCGCUGGUGUUUUGAGAGAGUGAGGCACAGGAACAGCUGUAGCAUAUCAUCUGCACAAGUCUUGAUUAUGGAAGACAUCAACCUGACCUUCCUCCAUGAAAGUGGCAGGACUUACCUGCAGCCAUGGUUACCCUUUUUUGGAGCUUAAAGGACUAAAAAAGAUGGGAAAGAGAAAACCAUGGAUAGGAAUGGAGAUGAAUGACACUGUGUGAAAGGGAGAAAACUCCGGAAUCUGAGGAGCAGAACCAAAGUUCAACAGCUACAGCAGCCACAGUCUCAUCUCCCUCAGAGGCUUCAGCUUCAUCUCAGUGUAAGGAUGACUCGUCACAAACUAAGGUCCCUGAAAGUCACUGUGAGCAAGUUCUUCCAGUGCGGGCAGUGCUGACUGGGGGGACACUUUUUCUGUGUGGGCGGCGUGAAUCGGAACAGCUCCAGCCCUGGCUCGUGGGAAGAGCAGCAGUGAAGUGA